CCUGGUCCCGGGCGGCGUAAUGCCGGCGAAACCCGCCAGGCCCGGAAGGGAGCAACGGUAACCAGCUGCACGGGUGCUCGGGACCUUUUUU
rnacentral:SRP_RNA from 1 species